CAAUAGCGUAUAUUAAAGUUGUUGCAGUUAAAAAGCUCGUAGUUGGAUUUCUGGUUGAAGCGACCGGUCGGGCGUUGAUUCGUCUGCACUGGAGUCGGUUUUGGACAUCCUCUAGGAAAGUGCGUCUGGUAUUAAGUUAUCGGGCGUAUGAUCCUGGUCUUUUACUGUGAAAAAAUUAGAGUGUUUAAAGCAGGCCUUCGCCUUGAAUACAUUAGCAUGGAAUAAUAAGAUAGGACUUUGGUCUAUUUUGUUGGUUUGCAGACCGAAGUAAUGAUUAAUAGGGAUAGUUGGGGGUAUUUAUAUUCCGAUGUCAGAGGUGAAAUUCUUAGAUUUUCGGAAGAUAAACUUAUGCGAAAGCAUUUACCAAGGAUGUUUUCAUUAA
rnacentral:rRNA from 1 species